CCUGGGGAAAUAUCUCUCCAUUGCAUGUUGGACAAGUGCAGGGAUACCUGUCCAACUUCUGCUGCCUUAAAGGACAUGGUCUAGUAGAGUUUUUCUCCUACCUUGAGUUCUAACCAUAGUCUGCAGCUUGGGUGUGGUAAUUCUUGUGUUCAUGGUGAUGAUAAUCCUCUUCCCAGCCAGCAAAUUGGUAUUGUCCAGAGCUGAGCAUGCUAUUCCCUGUUCCUGGUGACCACACUCGCAAUUUGUCCAUCUCACCGUGGCCAGGACGUCCCCAGAGAUUUCAUGCCCGUAACGGGGUUGCGCCGCCGUAGACCGGAGCCGUGGACAGCUCCAUCGUCGACCGACCAACUUGCAUCUUCCCCAAGCG
rnacentral:lncRNA from 7 species